rnacentral:rRNA from 1 species
UGGGGAAUUUUGGACAAUGGGCGCAAGCCUGAUCCAGCCAUGCCGCGUGUCUGAAGAAGGCCUACGGGUUGUAAAGGACUUUUGUCAGGGAAGAAAAGGACAGGGUUAAUACCCCUGUCUGAUGACGGUACCUGAAGAAUAAGCACCGGCUAACUACGUGCCAGCAGCCGCGGUAAUACGUAGGGUGCGAGCGUUAAUCGGAAUUACUGGGCGUAAAGCGAGCGCAGACGGUUACUUAAGCAGGAUGUGAAAUCCCCGGGCUCAACCUGGGAACUGCGUUCUGAACUGGGUGACUAGAGUGUGUCAGAGGGAGGUAGAAUUCCACGUGUAGCAGUGAAAUGCGUAGAGAUGUGGAGGAAUACCGAUGGCGAAGGCAGCCUCCUGGGAUAACACUGACGUUCAUGCUCGAAAGCGUGGGUAGCAAACAGG